UCUACGGGAGGCUGCAGUGAGGAAUAUUGGUCAAUGGCCGAGAGGCUGAACCAGCCAAGUCGCGUGAGGGAAGACGGCCCUACGGGUUGUAAACCUCUUUUGUCGGGGAGCAAAGCGAACCACGUGUGGUUCAUUGAGAGUACCCGAAGAAAAAGCAUCGGCUAACUCCGUGCCAGCAGCCGCGGUAAUACGGAGGAUGCGAGCGUUAUCCGGAUUUAUUGGGUGUAAAGGGCGUGUAGCCGGGUUGACAAGUCAGAUGUGAAAUCCUGCGGCUUAACCGCAGAACUGCAUUUGAAACUGUUGAUCUUGAGUACUGGAGAGGCAGAUGGAAUUCCUAGUGUAGCGGUGAAAUGCGUAGAUAUUAGGAGGAACACCAGUGGCGAAGGCGGUCUGCUGGACAGCAACUGACGGUGAGGCGCGAAAGCGUGGGGAGCAAACAGGAUUAGAUACCCGAGUAGUC
rnacentral:rRNA from 1 species